CCUUUUUGGAUCCAGUUUUCACCAUGUAGGUAAAUUUGUGUUUUAAUUAUUUUUUUAAGUAUCCAACUCUUUUGGCUUGUGAAAAGAAGGCUAAUUAAUCACCAGUGAUGUGUAGUUUUUUCAGUCGAGCUGCAUCUCAUGGUUUAAAUUCGUACCUAUACGCAUUGCUACAUUAAAAAGGUUGCUUGAAUGAGGGUAUCUGGCCAUUCCUUGUUUCCAAAUGCUUUUUGCACACUUCACUUUGGUGCUCACCCUUUGAGCUCAUCUUAUAUCCUUUCUAUUUGCUAUUGCUUUUGUUUUGAUCUAGAGGAGCACAAACACGCUCAAACGUCUGAUUUCAUGAGGAAAUUAGAGACUUCUUGAGUAAUGAGUCAUUACCGCCAUUAGGUAUUGGCAAGGGUUGGCUCAAGUGGUAAAGACCUUGGUCUUGGUGGUAUGCUUCCUCUAGAUCUAAGGUUUGAAUCCUCUUGAGUGCAAACAAUUUCUAGGGGCCAUUGAACUGGAGGAACUUCCUCUUGAAUUACCCGACCCUCGCUGGAAACUUCUUACCGAGGGCUUGUGCACACCUGGAAUUAGUUGGGACUUUGUUCUUGGACACCCAGCAAUAAAAAAAAAUAGUAAAUUGAUUAAUGACAUUUAUUGCAGUCUAGAAUUACUUUUUGAAGAGAAAGACAGCAAGUUGUUGCAUGCAAUCGUUGUGUGUGGAAAAGAGGUAUAGAUUAAGACUGCUAUGCAUGUGAAUGCUGGAUUUUUUAUGAUUAUUUUCUCUCUCUGAUAUAUAAAUCUUUUCAAGUUACUGACUUCUGGCAUCUUGUUGGAUUGCAUUGAUGGCUCUACUGCAGAUAUUAAUUUAGUGUGCAAUGUUGGUGCAUUGCUAGUGAGGGCAUCGCAUUGUGCCUGCAUAUUAGGGUCUCCUCAUCGUGUUUUUAAAGAAUAUCAUACAUAUGAUGCCUUUAGCUGCUUGGAAUACUAAUUGAGAUGGAUCCGCUUGUUAGUUAUGUAUGUGCCCACUUUAACAUGUUUUUUACUUCCUAAUGGGUUUUCUAUUUUACUGCUGGGAACAAUUUAAGUAG